CUCACCAGGUCAGGACACGGUAAGGAUUGACGGACUGAAGGCUCUUUCUCGAUUCCGUGGAAAGUGGUGCAUGGCCGUUUUUGGUUGGUGGAUCGAUCCGUCUGGUUAAUUCCGUUAACGAACGAGACCUCGGCACUCCGAAUAGCGCGGCGGACGUCGCGGCCUCCGGGCCGUCUUCCGCACGAGCUUCUUAGAGGGACCGUCCCCCGCCGGGGAAGGAGGUGCGAGGCAACGACAGGUCUGUGAUGCCCUUAGAUGUUCUGGGCCGCACGCGCAUUACACUGACGCGUCCAACGGGUGACUCCCGACCCGAAGGGGCCGGGGAAUCCGCAAGGCGCGUCGUGAUGGGGAUUGAACGUUGCAAUUGUUGUUCACGAACGAGGAAUUCCUAGUAGGCGCGGGUCAUCAACCCGCGCCGAUUACGUCCCUGCCCUUUGUACACACCGC
rnacentral:rRNA from 1 species